GAGUUUGUAAGGUGAAAAUUGUCUUUACUUUAUAAAUUAUAUACAAGCGACUAGCAACUGAUGCAAAACUUUUUAAGACACCUCCUCACUUCCGAUACUAUUGAGCUUGGUGUUCAUAUAUAAAUGGUGGAUGGUCUGGUCACAAAUCUGAUGGCAACUGGCAAGCGGUCUAGCAGAUUGUGGAAUAAGCUCGGAUACCAUCUUAGAAUCAGAAGUUGGUCGAACCCUUCUUCAAACCCAUG
rnacentral:lncRNA from 1 species